UACGUAGGGUGCAAGCGUUUGUCCGGAAUUAUUGGGCGUAAAGAGCUCGUAGGCGGUUUGUCGCGUCGGCUGUGAAAACUCGGGGCUCAACCCCGAGCCUGCAGUCGAUACGGGCAGACUAGAGUGCUGUAGGGGAGACUGGAAUUCCUGGUGUAGCGGUGAAAUGCGCAGAUAUCAGGAGGAACACCGGUGGCGAAGGCGGGUCUCUGGGCAGUAACUGACGCUGAGGAGCGAAAGCGUGGGGAGCAAACAGG
rnacentral:rRNA from 1 species